CAACCUUCUCUUCUCUUCUCUCCUCUCCUCCUCUCCCCCAAAAACCGCCGCCGCCGCCUGCUACUCAAGGUGCCCAGCUCCGCCCGCGACUCAGCUCCCCUGCUCUUCCUGCGAUUCUGCCCCUGCUCUGCCCGCAUCUCCAUAGCGCUGCUUCCGCUACGCCCCGCCAUCUCCGCUCUGCUCUGCCCGUGGCGGCGCCUGUGACGUGCCGAUAUGGCGGCGCCGCGGCCGGUUCCGAUCUGGAGAACCAGCAGGCGGUGGUGCAUGGUCUGGGCGGCGCCAAACUGCGCGGCUCCGAUUCUGCAUUGACGCCUCCUUCCUCUGUCGCCCAGAUACAAGGCGGCUCUCUCCUAGCCAACCUCCAGCCACGCCUCUUCCUCUCCUCUUUGACCGGCUCUCUUCUCCUCUGGAGAAGUAGCACGGGGCGGAGCUGCGCCUGAUCCUCUGCCGACGGCGCACGUCUCAGCCCCAAGCCCAAGCUGUUUGAAGCAAUUACUAUUAAGGUUCAAAUACGUGGAUUUUCCUUUUAGUUUAAGAAGCAUUUAACUUUUCUGUUUGAAGCAAUUGCUAUUAAGGUUCAAAUACGUGAAUUUUCCUUUUAGUUUAAGAAGCAUUUAACUUUUCUGUUUGACUGUAUAUAUGUGCUCUCACAAUGUUUGCAAAUGCACAUGGUGUCCAUUUUGCAUCACUCCAAUAUUGAUAUCUUUUGUUAGUAUUCAGAGAUGAUCUAGCAGAUUGAGCGAGAUGUAAAAAGCACUCACCCUGACGUGCAUUUCUUCUGUGGAGACUCUUCUUUUGCAAAAUCCAAUCAGGUUGGGGAUGGAGGGCGGUAAAAGGAGCAUGUUAUCAUAGCAGUGGCGGUGUCUCACCUUGGGUUACUCCAUCGUCCUAUAAGGUCACCGACAGACUAUCAGAUCUCUAGGAAGUGGUACCGGGUGGUGAUGUCAGGGGGCCAAGGCCAGCUGCUGAUGUGAAGAAGAUGAACAUGCAGGAGCAGGUCAAGCCACUUACUGAUCCCUCCAUCUCAUUCUACUCUGCUCACAAGGCGUUUGACUGAUUGCAUCAGUCAUGGGCCAGUUGAUGCGAUUGGGCCUAGAUGUGAUGAGUUGUUCCAUCUCUGAUAGAAAACUAUUGGCUAAAUACGAGGAGGCUCUUCUACACAUGUGAAGCCACUUCUCAAGUGUUCGGCAUUCAAAACAUUGUGCGGCUCAAGCGCCUCCUGGCUUCCUCCAGCUCUUCAUCGAUGGGUUUCGCUGCCGCUGUGACUGCUUCCACCCCUCCAUCACCGCCGGCACCUACAUAGUUAGGAUCUUCGCACCAAGGCUCUGGUUGGUGCUGGCCCUCGGUGCCGUAAGUCAGAGGGCCUUUGGGAGGUUGACCGGCUUUGUGUUCCUUCCACUGCCACCACUUCUUCCAGUUCUUAUGUUCUUGCUGCCUCCUCUUCUGCGUCCUUGCAACAGUGGAAUCAUCGACUUGGUCACAUCUUUAGCUCCCGCUAGUCAUCGUUGGUGUGCCAGGGUGUCUUAGGGUCUAUCUCUCUAGAUGUUUCUUUACAUUGUGAUGGUUGUAGACUUGGAAAACCGACCCACUUAUCUUAUCCUACUAGUGAGUCGGUAUCUCAGCGUCCUUUUGCCUUAGUUCAUUCCAAUGUAUUGGGUCGUGCUCCCUUUGAUUCAAAAGGUGGUCAUCGCUACUAUGUUCUGUUUAUUGAUGAUUUCUCUCGCUACACUUGGCUUUACUUUACGAAAUCUCGUAGCGAGGUUCUCUCUAUAU